CGGUUACUGCUCUUCGCGUCAAUGGGGCCCUUUUCCAGUGGCCGAUAACCAUUCCUGAGGGGGCUGGCUCUGUCGAGACCCUGGUCUCGUUACCUGGCUCCCACCUGACUUGUCAGGCUCUCGGGAAAUUCACGCCCCGACGGUCGCUGCGGUUUCCGC
rnacentral:sRNA from 1 species